CUCGGCGCCGGGCGCGGGCUCCGGGUUGCGGCGAGCGAACGCCCGGG
rnacentral:miRNA from 1 species